UAACCCUCGUUCGUUCCGUGGUCGCUGGGUGGGGUUCCGCCGCCGACCGUCGGCUUCCAAAUCCGGUGGCGCAGCCGCCUCUGCCCCUACCGCCAUCAUGCUUGGCGAGUUCUCCACCACCCCCUCCGACGCCCCUUUCCCACCACUUACAUGUCCUGGCCGCGCGCCGUUGAACUCACGGUGGAUUGAAGAUCCUCAGCGACGUCGCCGUCGCUUGCCAAGGUCGUUACGAGGUUCCGAGAGCGGGACCUGGCGUCCAUCGCGACGCGCCACCCGUUCCAGCUCGGCAGUGGCGCAGGAGAUGUUAGGAUGCCGACGCGGUGGCUUUGGGAGGCGAAGUGGAAGGACACGAUUCGAGAUGUCGCCGGCCCGUGUUUUGGUGGUCAAAGGUUGCUGGCGCGUCGCCUUCUCCGGCGUCGGCCUUUCCCGGUGCUACUCGUGGCCCUGCAGCGUCACUUGGUGCAUUUGCUGCGGCGCGCCAUCCCGCCACCUAAUACCUGGGAUAGUGAGGCCCUAAAGCUGGACAAGAAGGCUCCUGGGCGCACCGGAGGAUGUCCCACUGGCAUAGGAGAACAAGGUCAGCAAAAAUGGCAGUGCAAAUGUGGAGGAAGAAGGUAAGGUAUACUUCGUAAGCAACUUUGUUCGGUUAUGAGGGUGGGGACUCCAUCAUGUCUUGGCCCCAUGACAAGUUUUUGAGGACUUCCAUGGACAGGACCCAUGACAAGGCUACUCAGGUGGAUGGUGAGAAAGUUGACAUGGAGCCUGAAAAUAUCAGGUUACAUUUGGAGGUAACAAGACAACGUGUUUUGAUAGUAGGUUCGGGAUGAAAAGAAGAUUGAACAACAAAUAAGUGAUGCCAAGCUUCAAGAUGAAGCAUUUCUAGCAUUUUAGGAUGGCGGUGAUAGAAGAGCUGGAAGCAAAAGUUAAAGAAAAUAAUAACAAAGAUGUUGCACAAGACAAGAUAAAGGAGCUCGAGGUUCUUAUGCAGAAGUCGAUCAGAUUUUUGGUGGUGAUCGUCAGUGUAGUCAUCGCCUUAGCUGCUGUAUUAACUAAUUUGUAUGUAGCUAGAGUAAUUAUUCCAACCGUACAGAUUCUUCAUUCAUGGAUCUUGGAAAUCAUUUGCUCAAUAUUAUUCAUGGAUCUUGUAAUUAA